AUAUUUUUCUUACCAGGGAGAGAGCUGCCUGUUUUCCUGUAAGAGCUUGUGCCAUUUCUGCCAAAUAUGAAUGUGUUUUAGAAGACUACAGGAUGAAUGCAUGAAUGCAGUUCAGACUGAGGCAAGGCCAUGCUGAGACGAUAUUCAGUCAUCAGUGAGCAUCUGCUGCAUGAAGAAAACUGUAAUUAUUGACUUUGGACUUAAUUUGGAUGUUCACACAGCCGUAGUCAGACAGUGCUUUGAUAUUUUUUCUCCUGGACAGCCUGGGAAACACUGUAAGCAUUGCUCAAAAAGAAUCUGGCCUCAUGGAGAAAAACCAGGAGGAAACCCUGAGAGCCACAUUCCUCUACCAGGAGGUCUGCUUGGCAGCUCAGAGACUAGAUAUCUUCCUUCAAAAAGAAAAUGCCCACAAAGAGGUUUUUAAGCCUCAUGUCCUGGCUCUCAGAGAGAUGCUUCAGCAAGC
rnacentral:lncRNA from 1 species